rnacentral:rRNA from 1 species
UGGGGAAUCUUCCGCAAUGGACGAAAGUCUGACGGAGCAACGCCGCGUGUACGAAGAAGGUCUUCGGAUUGUAAAGUACUGUCUUUGGGGAUGAACGGUGUGGGUGUAAAUAAUGCCUGUACAUGACGGUACCCAAGGAGGAAGCCCCGGCUAACUACGUGCCAGCAGCCGCGGUAA